AGACAGUUGAAAAAUAUUAAUGACAAAAUAAACAAAGGACUGGAGAAAUAAUGCUGGAGUUUUUCAUUGCUGAUUUAUCUCUGUCAAGAAUUGCUUGAUAGUGCAAGGUGUUGGACAUAAAUCCAUUACUUAUGUAGCAAGAACCAGCCAGACUAUCCUUCCCAGGUAGCAGUUCUGAAACAGAGGUUGAGCUCCUGCAGGCAUCCUACAGCAAUUCACAGACUAUUCUUGGGUACUCAAAAAGUGAAGUACUUGUAUUAUCUUUUUCCAGGUACAACAUCAUGGUAAGGGAAUGCACACUUUGAAAUGAGGCUAUUUUUCAACAGAGGUCAAAGGAAGUCAUGGAAAAGAGGGAUGGAUACUAAUAUCUGUCAGUAUUGGUGUCUGAGCCGUUUGUCUUGUGAAGAAUCAGUUACUUUGUAUUACAGCUAUGUCUUCGACUUGGCUGCACAGCCAAUCUUUGGUCUUGACUUAGGUGUAUUAUUUUAAGACCAGUGCAUACAGCACUUAAAGACUGGAGGAUAAGUGGGCAUAUUAAGGGAAACACAUUUGCCAGCCAAUAAAAUUUUUGGUACAUGAGAAAUAUCAGGUUUUUUUUUAUAAAUAACAUCUGCUAACCUCAAUAUUUUCACAAAAAUAAUGACUGCCUCUAUUUUCACUACUACUGCAAAUAUACAUGGCAAUGGAAAAAGAAAAUGU